rnacentral:rRNA from 1 species
GAUCAUGGCUCAGGAUGAACGCUGGCGGCGUGCUUAACACAUGCAAGUCGAACGAAGCACUUUAUUUGAUUUCCUUCGGGACUGAUUAUUUUGUGACUGAGUGGCGGACGGGUGAGUAACGCGUGGGUAACCUGCCUUGUACAGGGGAGUAACAGUUGGAAACGGCUGCUAACACCGCAUAAGCGCACAGCAUCGCAUGAUGCAGUGUGAAAAACUCCGGUGGUAUAAGAUGGACCCG